UACGGAGGGGGCUAGCGUUGUUCGGAAUUACUGGGCGUAAAGCGCGCGUAGGCGGACCUGCAAGUCGGGGGUGAAAGCCCGAGGCUCAACCUCGGAACUGCCUUCGAUACUGCGGGUCUCGAGUCCGGGAGAGGUGAGUGGAAUUCCGUAGUGUAGAGGUGAAAUUCGUAGAUAUUAGGAAGAACACCAGUGGCGAAGGACGGCG
rnacentral:rRNA from 1 species